GCUGUGCUGUCCGAGUGGUAAAGGUGUUGGACUUGAAUUCCAAUGGGGUCUCCCCGUGCAGGUUCGAACUCUGCUUACAGUG